GUGGGGAAUAUUGGACAAUGGGCGCAAGCCUGAUCCAGCAAUGCCGCGUGGGUGAAGAAGGUCUUCGGAUCGUAAAGCCCUUUCGACAGGGACGAUGAUGACGGUACCUGUAGAAGAAGCCCCGGCUAACUUCGUGCCAGCAGCCGCGGUAAUACGAAGGGGGCUAGCGUUACUCGGAAUUACUGGGCGUAAAGGGCGCGUAGGCGGCUCUGUUAGUCAGGCGUGAAAUUCCUGGGCUUAACCUGGGGACUGCGCUUGAUACUGCAGGGCUUGAGGCCGAGAGAGGGUGGUGGAAUUCCCAGUGUAGAGGUGAAAUUCGUAGAUAUUGGGAAGAACACCGGUGGCGAAGGUGACCACCUGGCUCGGUUCUGACGCUGAGGCGCGACAGCGUGGGGAGCAAACAGGAUUAGAUACCCCAGUAGUCC
rnacentral:rRNA from 1 species